rnacentral:rRNA from 1 species
CCUACGGGAGGCAGCAGUGGGGAAUCUUAGACAAUGGGGGCAACCCUGAUCUAGCCAUGCCGCGUGGAUGAUGAAGGCCUUAGGGUCGUAAAGUCCUUUCGCCGGGGAAGAUAAUGACGGUACCCGGUAAAGAAACCCCGGCUAACUCCGUGCCAGCAGCCGCGGUAAUACGGAGGGGGUUAGCGUUGUUCGGAAUGACUGGGCGUAAAGCGCGCGUAGGCGGAUCGACACAGUCAGAGGUGAAAGCCCGGGGCUCAACCCCGGAAUUGCCUUUG